GCGACAACAAGUUCGAUUUGAUUUGUCUCGUGCCGCGGCGGUCAUCUUAGACAACUCCACUCCUCUGUCGCGGUCUCCACCAAGGAUAUCCAGAUUAAGGUGGGGAAUUUCAGAUUAAGGCUCGAGAGAGAGGGAAGAGAGAAGAAGAAAAGUAAAAGAAACGCCACCGCAAGAUAACGUCUCCGGCAACAGUGAGCGGUGUCCAGUGACAGCGAGCGACUGCCGGAAGAGAUUGUUGGGAGAGAGUUGGAAGAAUCCGGUGUGAUGUGCCUAUGAUAGCAAUAUUAACUAAUGGUUAAAAAAACAUGGUUCAUAAUGAACCAUCUGUAAGGUGGUGCACCGUAACCUAAUUCUUAGUAUACACACUUCACUUCAAUAGGUCGAUUGUAACGUAACAAUUACUAACCAAUAAAAAAUGCAACAAAAACAAUACUUAAAUAUUUCAUCAUGAAAAAUCACUCCAUCAAUGCAUAAUCUAAGUUGUAUAUUACAAAAUCAGGAUGUACUUAAUCAAAGUGCUAUUUUGUGUUUA